UACGUAGGUGGCAAGCGUUGUCCGGAUUUACUGGGCGUAAAGAGCGCGCAGGCGGCUGGUCAAGUCCGAUGUGAAAUCUCCCGGCUUAACUGGGAAACUGCAUCGGAAACUGAUCGGCUUGAAGGUGGGAGAGGGUAGUGGAAUUCCCGGUGUAGUGGUGAAAUGCGCAGAUAUCAGGAAGAACACCGAUGGCGAAGGCAGAUCUCUGGGCCGUAACUGACGCUGAGGAGCGAAAGCAUGGGGAGCGAACAGG
rnacentral:rRNA from 1 species